UACGAAGGGGGCUAGCGUUGUUCGGAAUUACUGGGCGUAAAGCGCACGCAGGCGGAUUGGUAAGUCAGGGGUGAAAUCCCGGGGCUCAACCUCGGAAUUGCCUUUGAUACUGCCAAUCUUGAGUCCGGGAGAGGUGAGUGGAAUUCCUAGUGUAGAGGUGAAAUUCGUAGAUAUUAGGAAGAACACCAGUGGCGAAGGCGGCUCACUGGCCCGGUACUGACGCUCAGGCGCGAAAGCGUGGGGAGCAAACAGG
rnacentral:rRNA from 1 species